UGAGUGUUUUGUUUGUCUGGAUGGCUGUA
rnacentral:piRNA from 1 species